GUAGCUUCAGCAGCACAUAUACUAAAACUGGAAUGAUACAGAGAAGACUGGCAUGGCCCCUGCACAGGAAUGACACACAAAUUCAUGAAGCGUUCCAUACUCAA
rnacentral:snRNA from 1 species